CCGUUUUUGGUGGGUCGCGAGCCUUUUUCUAAAAAGAGAGAAAAAUAAAGAUAAUCCAAUUUAGUGGCGAGUCAUUGUAGUUCCCCUCCGCACCCGCAGGGGGUCGUCGUGUCAGCAGCGACCGGUGAGGACACUCGUAUUACUGUAGAAGAAACUGCAUGUUUUCAUAGCAACAGCAGCAUGGCUAAACGCAAGUACGACAGCGAGUACAUUAAAUAUGGAUUUUCCUACAUCGAAGACAAAGGAGUCCAAAAGCACGCAUCUGAAUAAACUUUUCGAGCGGUUUAGCGACUACUUUCCCGAUAAACAACCCGAGGACGACUGGGUGCGCGACCCGUUUGGAAUAAACAUGGAAAGCAUCACGUUGCCUAGCAGCGAUGAAUGUCAGCUGGUGGAGCGAUCAUGUGACCGCACUCUCAGAAAGAAAUUCACAGAGAUUUCAGUCAUCAACAAGGAAUUACAUUAAUGCCACUUCCUGUGACCCAGCUGCACCAAGCGUGGACAUGUGUGCGCCGCGAAUCAUACGUGGAGCAAAGGGAACUCACUCACCCAGAGAUCACUGGGUCCCCAAAUGCAGAGGAAUACAAGACACUGCAACAACUCCCUCAGAUCAUUUAGUAUUAUUUGUGCAUUCGGGGAAAGAUGCAGAGCAGGAAAUCUGUGGAUGUGUGGCAGGCGGGCACCGACACGUCUCUAGUGGCUAUGGGAGAGCGUACCAUGAAUAAAUUUAGCGCUGUCCCCAGGAGAUUGCCUUCAAUCACGAAGCAUAAGGUGUCAAUGCGGCGCCCUGUGUGCAUGCACCAAAUUACCUUCCACCAGAUUGCUGAGCUGGGUCUAAUAGGAAUGGGGAAUGGACUGAAGAGGACGGACUGCUAAUUAAUCUGGCCCAAGUCUGAGCCCAUGUCCUGGGCCUGCUGACAACCGGUCAAGUUGAGGCCAGGGAUACAUGUAUGAUCAGAUAGGAAAGAUGAAAAAUGUACAUGUAUUAAAGUGUUCAUGUAUACAAAUCUUUGGGAAAAUUAAUAAUAUGCAUAUAUUUGGUUUUGAUUAUGGCAUCUGUAUUAAUAAAUGGAUGCAUGAUCGUAUGAGCUGAAGUUAUUUCUAGCAAUAAACAACUACAAAAUUAUGCAGUUUUCAAACAAAUAUUAGAUAAUAAAGUUGACUUAAUCACACAUUUAUGCAGUUGAGAAACUGACUAGCUAUAAUAAUAUGGAUCCGUAAUCACCGGAGCAUUUUCUGUAGCAUAACAGCUUCAAAUGUUUCCAGUGAAUCCUAUGGUGUAUGAACCAUAACAUUAAAGGCCAUAUCCAGUAUUCCACACAAGCUGAAAUAUUAACAUCUCAAUUUACAUACAAAUUUCCAUGCAUCUAAAAGCGAAAAACUCUUUACCAAGCCAUUUUCCCAUUUUGAAUAAUAGGUGGUUUUCUGAGAUCCAGUUGAUUGACUAAACAAAGACAUGACUAGUGCAUUAAAGCAAUUGUUUAUUGCCACUGAAUUGUGGCAUAUGUAUAAUUUUGCUGUAAAUGGUUAUUAACUGAUACCGAAACCCUGGAUUUGUAUAAUAGCUGGUAAUCAUUCUACCUCAGGAUGUGUUUUCUCCCUCAUACACAGGGUUAAAGAAUUAGAGUGUAGUCAAUUACAUUUAGCGGGUCACAGAAAUUGAUUUACUGCCGAAAGAAUUUUCUUUUUUUUUUUUUCUGCUGGGCUUUGGCUCUGUGGUGGCAUUCUGCUCACAUAAUCAAGGAUGAGCGUUGCCUGUCUACCCAAUCUACUACUUGGUCCCACAGGGAAAAAUGACUUGCAACAGGAAAACCUGCAUGAAUACUAAUUUGCCUACUUGGCUUUAACAGCUUUUGCAAGCCAAUCUCAUAGGAAUUUUGUAGAAUAUGAUGUCUUUCCAUCUUUCCAUAUUAAUUACCCCAACUGAAAAUAGGGACAGCAAGAGAUGGGGAGAGUGACAGAAGAAGAGUGUUUGAGGGAGAGAAAGAGGGAUGGAAUCAUGGGAAUAGCUCUAAGCAGGGACUCUCUGCUCUCCAUCCUAAAUGCGGUUAAUUAUAAUGUGAUAUGAAGCAUCUUGAGCAGGAAUCUGGCAAUCUGGAUUUGGAGCUCUCUGACCAUAGCUCCAGUUUGGGUCUCUUCAUUACAGCUCAACAUGGCCAGUCCUUCUCGUCCCCUCAGCCUGAGGAUCACAGAAUUGGACUACAUGUAAGAAUAAAACUAGGACACGUUGGUUAUGUUCACGCCAGUGAGUGAGUCCUGAACUCUUACUCCCUUUCUUUAUUCCUUAUUGGCAGGUGAGACAAUAAACCUGCAUAAAUGGCGAUAUCAAUACAUGGAAAUAUUUCAUGUUCCUGUGCUCUAAUUACAUCACACUUCUUAACAAACACAUAUUUUUCUGAUUUCUGUAUUUUGUAACGAGGACUUUUUGACCACUGAAGUGUUGGUGUCUUUAUACUGUUGGCUUAAGUAUCCUUGGAAAAGCCAAAAGCACAAACAGCAUCAUAGACAAACCUUUGUUUACAAGAACUGAAUGCCUCUUUAACACUUGUGGUAGUAAGCUGAAGGCGAUCGAACGUGUCUGCCCUAAAUAAGCAACAAAACUAGAAAGUAUCAUAUCUCCCAGUGUAAGGAGACAAGGCUGAACAGCUGAUGACUGUAAAACUGAAAUGGGUCGAAACUGUUUUUCAGAAAAAGCAUUGUGUAAUUGGUAACACCUUUGUAAAAAUCUACUGGAGUCCUCAUUUCACAACUGAGAUGCUCACUGUUAACAUGAAUAGAGUUGAGCUGGCGGGCAAAUAGAUGAUAUUUGUUGGGAUUCUAUAAAGGUGUAUGAAAGUGUUGGAAGUACUUUUAGUGUGUUUAAGCUCACCUAUGAUUCUGCUAAAACACUACUCUGCACUACACAGUGGCAAGGGUAAUAUUGGAGGAAGUCAGCCAUAUAUGCUGGAACGGGAAACUGAUUCUGAAAAUGAAUAAUGGUAGAAAAAAGUCCACCUUGCAAAGCAAUGGAAUUGGUUCUUCAGGUUUGUUAUAUAUGAAACUCUGGUUGUCUGAAUCUCAAGGCGGUCUUUAAGGUGGUAAUAGGUGGAAAUACUACAUAGCCAUGUGACUGAUUACUUAUUUUGCUCAUAAUGGAUCUUGCAGCAUAAAAAACACACCAUAUAAACAUGGUAACAAGGCAAAAAACAAAAACAAAAAAACAUCCAUCCAUCCAUUUUCUAUACACCGCUUAAUCCUCAUUAGGGUCGUGGCGGGGCUGAAGUCUAUCCCAGCUGACUGACAGGUCACCAGUCUAUCACAGGAAUACAUAGACAGACAAACAAUCACACUUGCAUUCACACCUAUUGGCAAUUUAGAAUUAUCAAUUAACCUCAGCAUGUUUUUGGACUGUGGGAAGAAGCUGGAGAACCUGGAGAAAACCCACACAUGCACAGGGAGAACAUGCAAACUCCAUGCAGAAAGAUCCCAGGCCCAGGCUGGGACGUGAACCGCGGAUCUUCUAGCUCCAAGGCGAAAAUGCUAACAACCACACCAAGGUGCAGCCCCCACCGCACCCCCCAAAAAACUUGGAAAUGUGACUACAAGUAUGUAAUGUACAAAAGCUUUAGGUAGAUGGGGAUAUUCAAGCCUGACAUAAGGUAUCCCGCAUUCAUUUUGCAACAACCCAACAGCAACUACAGACAUAUAGCCAAAAUCAUAGAGAGCUGUCUUUUGUGACCAGAACAACAAGGAGCCCUGCAACAGAUGGUGUUGCCCCACAGAGCCCUGAUCUCAAAAUAUGGAGUCAGUCUGGGAUUACACGAAGAGACAGAAAAUCUGAGAUAGCACAAUUCACAGAACUGUGGCAAGUUCUUCAAGAUGCUAGAACUAUGUUCCUGCUGAAGAUUUUGAAAAACUGUGUGCAAGUAUACCAAAGAGGACUGGUGCUGUUUUAAAGAUGUAUUAAUUUGUGUUUGAUGUUUUCUGUUCUACUUUAUUUGUAUGGAUUGAGCUGAUACCUAAUGUUAACGCCUACCACUUCGGGACUGUGCAAUGCAUUUGAUGACAUAACAUCCAGAAACGCAGUUGAAUCGUGUUGACUCUAUUAAACAACUCAAACAAAUAGCAAC